GGUUAAAUAAUAUAUUCCCGAGUUGACAAGAGCUAUAAAAUAUAAAUAUUGUUUACGUGGUAAUGUAAUUUGUCAGUAUUUUAUAGUAAUGAAAUAUUAAGCGGUUGUUAGGAUAUCUGGUUUUGUGAGAAUUAAGACAUCUUAGUCAGGUUCUAGCUUGUGAGAUUAGUCAUGAGUUUGAGUUCAAUUAAUAGUAGGUUUAAACUUUUGUUUGCUUUAACGGUAAGUAGUAUAGUGUGUUAUAACAAAUAGUUUUCUUGUGAGGAUUAAUAUUAUUAUUGUAGGGUAUCACAGUGCUGUAAUAAUUAAGCUGUUUCAGCUAAGCAUGAUAAGAUUAGUAUGUUGCAAAAGUUGUGGUGAGAUAGUGUUGUAAAGUAAAAAAUUAAUGGGGGCGAGAUUUCUGUAAAUAACUCGGCAAAAAUAUUCUAAAAUGUUUAACAAAAACAUUUCCUUACUGAGUGUAAGGUAAGUCCUGCCCGGUGAGUGUAAACGGCUGCGGUAUUUUGACCGUACGAAGGUAGCAUAAUAAAUAGCCUUUUAAUUGGGGGCUGGUAUGAAUGGGCUAAUUAGGAAUAAACUUUUUUACAGGAAUAAGCAUAAUUUUAUUAUCAAGUAAAAAGGCUUGGUUAAAGGAAAGUGACAAGAAGACCCUAAGAGUUUUACGCUGAUUAGUUUUAGAUAGACUAAGUGCGUUAUGUAGCUUAAACUAAGCAGUGUUUGACUGGGGCGGUUGAAAUAUUAUCUAUUUUGUAUAUUACUAUAAUGUAAGUAUCGGGUGAAAGUUUAUCCUGUUAAGAAUACAAUACAAAUUACCUUAGGGAUAACAGCAUAAUCUUUUUUGAGAGACCAUAUUGACAGAAAGGUUUGUGACCUCGAUGUUGGAUUUGAAUAACUUUUAGGAGCAGCUUCUGUAAAAGUUGUCUGUUCGACCAUUAAACU
rnacentral:rRNA from 1 species